rnacentral:tRNA from 1 species
UUAUAUAUAAGCUAAAUUAAGCUUUUAAGCCCAUAACUUAAAGAUAAAUAUUAAUUUUAUAUAAU